rnacentral:rRNA from 1 species
AGAGUUUGAUCCUGGCUCAGGACGAACGCUGGCGGCGUGCCUAACACAUGCAAGUCGAGCGAGUAGAUUUCCUUCGGGAAUGAAGCUAGCGGCGGACGGGUGAGUAACACGUGGGCAACCUGCCUCAUAGAGGGGAAUAGCCUCCCGAAAGGGAGAUUAAUACCGCAUAAGAUUGUAGCUUCGCAUGAAGUAGCAAUUAAAGGAGCAAUCCGCUAUGAGAUGGGCCCGCGGCGCAUUAGCUAGUUGGUGAGGUAACGGCUCACCAAGGCGACGAUGCGUAGCCGACCUGAGAGGGUGAUCGGCCACAUUGGGACUGAGACACGGCCCAGACUCCUACGGGAGGCAGCAGUGGGGAAUAUUGCACAAUGGGGGAAACCCUGAUGCAGCAACGCCGCGUGAGUGAUGACGGCCUUCGGGUUGUAAAGCUCUGUCUUCAGGGACGAUAAUGACGGUACCUGAGGAGGAAGCCACGGCUAACUACGUGCCAGCAGCCGCGGUAAUACGUAGGUGGCGAGCGUUGUCCGGAUUUACUGGGCGUAAAGGGAGCGUAGGCGGACUUUUAAGUGAGAUGUGAAAUACCCCGGGCUCAACUUGGGUGCUGCAUUUCAAACUGGAAGUCUAGAGUGCAGGAGAGGAGAAUGGAAUUCCUAGUGGUAGCGGUGAAAUGCGUA